AGUGAACGCUGGCGGUAGGCCUAACACAUGCAAGUCGAACGGCAGCACAGUAAGAGCUUGCUCUUACGGGUGGCGAGUGGCGGACGGGUGAGGAAUACAUCGGAAUCUACUUUUUCGGGGGGGAUAACGUAGGGAAACUUACGCUAAUACCGCAUACGUCCUACGGGUGAAAGCAGGGGAUCUUCGGACCUUGCGCGAUUGAAUGAGCCGAUGUCGGAUUAGCUAGUUGGCGGGGUAAAGGCCCACCAAGGCGACGAUCCGUAGCUGGUCUGAGAGGAUGAUCAGCCACACUGGAACUGAGACACGGUCCAGACUCCUACGGGAGGCAGCAGUGGGGAAUAUUGGACAAUGGGCGCAAGCCUGAUCCAGCCAUGCCGCGUGGGUGAAGAAGGCCUUCGGGUUGUAAAGCCCUUUUGUUGGGAAAGAAAAGCAGCAGGUUAAUACCCCGCUGUUCUGACGGUACCCAAAGAAUAAGCACCGGCUAACUUCGUG
rnacentral:rRNA from 1 species